UUGAUUUUAAUUUUAAGUUUAAAUAGACCGACUCAGUCUUGAUCCCUUAUUCUGCUUACUUUACAUACCGAUAUCUAGGCGAAUUAGCCAGACAUGCUAAAUGAACAAGAAUACAUAUCAUGCAUAAACAGACUCAUUCCAGGCAGAUAAUAUAGAUAAAUAAUAAAACAAAACAUUAAAUAAUGAUUAAAGAACCUGA
rnacentral:lncRNA from 1 species